rnacentral:lncRNA from 1 species
UUGGAGAGCUGACGCAUGACAUGAAAACUGUCUCUCAUAGCAUGCAUAAAUUACACUUGUUUAUGCAAUGAGUUCUUUACUACUCCAUCUAUUUCUUCCGAAAAUGGUCAUUGCUGAUAGUACAUUAAAUACGGUUUUCAGUACUCAAUUUAGAAUGUUCUUAAACGAGCAUAAAAAGCAGGUUUCUCCCGGACGAUGACGAGCAGCAAAGUACGCUCUUUGCAACUUGCAACCUAAGCUCCACACAUGGAUAAACGAUCACCUGUUGGACAAAAUAAUGAUAGACAAUUGUUAUAACAACUACAUUUUCCACGCUCUGCCUCUACCAAAAUUCAGUCAAUAAAAAGUGACAGACGAUAACAAGAACAACCCAGUAAAAUCCCACAAGUGAGGUUUGGGGAGGGUAGAGUGUACGCACACCUUACGCCUACCCCAAGGGGGUAUAGGUUGUUUUUGAUAUAUCCUCGGCUCAAGCAGAUGAAAAAGACAAUAUAUCACUAUCAACAACAGAAAGCAUAGAAAUAAUAAUAGCAUUAUAAGUACCAGAAAAUAAAUGAAAAACAAUAACAGUAACACGUAAGAAAGGCUCGGUACUAUGAAAAGUGAAAGAAAAGUGUGGAAACAAUAAUAACCACUAGCACUCUAGGACACAACCCUAUCAGACUAGCCUCUCACCCGGUACGAAGUAGACAAGAGCUCCAUUACCUCAUAACCUACAACCCUAAUGCUAGACCUCAACACCUUCCUAUCAAGGGCCAUGUCCUCGAAAAUCUAAAGCCUCGCCAUGUCCUGCCUGAACACCUCUCCCAAAUACUUCUUGGGCCGCCCUCUACCUCUUCUCAUACUCGUCAAAGCCAACCGCUCACAUCUCCUUACUGGGGCAUUCGGAAUUCUCCUCCGCACGUGCCCGAACCAUCUGAGCCUAGCUUCCCACAUCUUGUCAUCCAUCGGGGCCGCGCCCACCUUCUCUCGAAUAUCUUCAUCCCUAAUCAUAUCCAUCCUAGUGUGCCCGUACGUCCAACUCAACAUCCUUAUUUCUGCUAAUUUCAUCUUCUGGAUAUGAAAGUUCUUGACCGGCCAAUACUCUGCCCCAUACAACAUGGCUGGUCUAACCACCGCUCUAUAGAACUUACCUUUGAGCCUCAGUGGCACCUUUUUGUCACAUAGGACUCUAGAUGCUAACUUCCACUUCUUCCAACUCACCCCUAUACGGUGUGCAACAUCCUCAUCGAUUUCCCCAUCCCCUGGAUAACCGACCCAAGAUGCUUGAAACUGCUUCUCUUGGGGAUGACCUGUGAUUCGAGCGUCACGUCCAUGACCACUUCCCUCGACUCGGCACUGAACUUAUACUCCAGGUAUUCUGUCUUAGUCCUGCUAAACUUGAAACCCUUAGACAAGGGGGAUCUAUUUCUAGUAUGCUCACAUAGGCCAUGUCCUAUCAUUUUCCUUGAAGAAUUAACUUAAAUAAUUGUCUACUCAACCGCUUAAACUAAAAAUAACCGGUAGAUGUAUAACCGUAUAUGAUCAGUGCAUAAUCUUUGUAUACUAGUUAGAAAAAUUAAACAGUAAAUCAGCUGGCUAUUUGGGUAAAAUCCCUUCCUCAUUUUGGGGAGAAUGACACAAAUAUGAUACUUUUGUGGCACUGUGAUUUUUUGAACUUGCUAAGAAAAUUUUGGAGAAAUAGCCUCGCUUCCAAAAUUUUAAAGCACGCAGCUAGGAUUUUGAAGCGUGCUGUCAGAUUUUUAAAGCACGCUGCCAGAAUUUUGAAGCACAGUUAGAAUUUUAAAGUAUAUACUGCCAGAAUUUCAAAGCAUAGUGCUAGAAUUUGAAGCACACUAUCAAAAAUUUAAAGCACACUGCCAAAAUUUGAAGCAAUUGCCGUAACUUACACAUUUCUUAGCGGGGUAAAAACAUAAAUUGUAGAGAAAGAUCCAUCUUACGUAAUUUCCCGCUCCUUUUGCGGAUUUUACUUGUUGGAAGUAUCGAGAUAUUGGUAGAAAUAACAAGGGCCGUCCAGUUCUUGGUUUGGUAUUUAAUUUAUAGCUAGAGUUUUAAAUGAUGAGCAACAAUAACUUGUCCCUUCGGGGACAUCCGAUAAAAAAAGC